rnacentral:rRNA from 1 species
AUAUUGCACAAUGGGGGAAACCCUGAUGCAGCGACGCCGCGUGAAGGAUGAAGUAUUUCGGUAUGUAAACUUCUAUCAGCAAGGAAGAAAAUGACGGUACCUGACUAAGAAGCCCCGGCUAACUACGUGCCAGCAGCCGCGGUAAUACGUAGGGGGCAAGCGUUAUCCGGAUUUACUGGGCGUAAAGGGAGCGUAGACGGAAUUGCAAGUCUGAUGUGAAAAUCCGGGGCCCAACCCCGGAACUGCAUUGGGAACUGUAUUUCUAGAGUGUCGGAGAGGCAAGUGGAAUUCCUGGUGUAGCGGUGAAAUGCGUAGAUAUCAGGAGGAACACCAGUGGCGAAGGCGGCUUGCUGGACGAUGACUGACGUUGAGGCUCGAAAGCGUGGGGAGCAAACAGG